rnacentral:rRNA from 1 species
AGAGUUUGAUCAUGGCUCAGGAUGAACGCUAGCGGGAGGCCUAACACAUGCAAGCCGAGCGGUAGAUUACUUUCGGGUAAUUGAGAGCGGCGUACGGGUGCGGAACACGUGUGCAACCUGCCUUUAUCAGGGGGAUAGCCUUUCGAAAGGAAGAUUAAUACCCCAUAAUAUAUUAUUCGGCAUCGGGUGAUAUUGAAAACUACGGUGGAUAGAGAUGGGCACGCGCAAGAUUAGCUAGUUGGUGAGGUAACGGCUCACCAAGGCGACGAUCUUUAGGGGGCCUGAGAGGGUGAUCCCCCACACUGGUACUGAGACACGGACCAGACUCCUACGGGAGGCAGCAGUGAGGAAUAUUGGACAAUGGGUGGAAGCCUGAUCCAGCCAUCCCGCGUGCAGGAAGACGGCCCUAUGGGUUGUAAACUGCUUUUAUCUGGGGAUAAACCUACUCACGUGUAAGUAGCUGAAGGUACCAGAAGAAUAAGCACCGGCUAACUCCGUGCCAGCAGCCGCGGUAAUACGGAGGGUGCAAGCGUUAUCCGGAUUUAUUGGGUUUAAAGGGUCCGUAGGCGGACUGAUAAGUCAGUGGUGAAAUCCGACAGCUUAACUGUCGAACUGCCAUUGAUACUGUUAGUCUUGAGUAAGGUUGAAGUGGCUGGAAUAAGUAGUGUAGCGGUGAAAUGCAUAGAUAUUACUUAGAACACCAAUUGCGAAGGCAGGUCACUAAGUCUUAACUGACGCUGAUGGACGAAAGCGUGGGGGAGCGAACAGGAUUAGAUACCCUGGUGGUCCACGCCGUAAACGAUGAUUACUCGUUUUUGGGUUUUAUGAUUCAGAGACUAAGCGAAAGUGAUAAGUAAUCCACCUGGGGAGUACGUUCGCAAGAAUGAAACUCAAAGGAAUUGACGG